AGAUAAUGAAGUAAUAAUUACAGUUAAUUUCGACCUAACCUUAGGAAUAUAAUUCCCUUAUCUA
rnacentral:tRNA from 1 species